UACGUAGGGUGCAAGCGUUAAUCGGAAUUACUGGGCGUAAAGCGUGGGCAGGCGGUUUUGUAAGACAGAGGUGAAAUCCCCGGGCUCAACCUGGGAACUGCAUUUGUGACUGCAAGGCUUGAGUGCGGCAGAGGGGGAUGGAAUUCCGCGUGUAGCAGUGAAAUGCGUAGAUAUGCGGAGGAACACCGAUGGCGAAGGCAAUCCCCUGGGCCUGCACUGACGCUCAUGCACGAAAGCGUGGGGAGCAAACAGG
rnacentral:rRNA from 1 species